rnacentral:rRNA from 1 species
CCCUAGUAACUGCGAGUGAAGCGGGAAAAGCUCAAAUUUAAAAUCUGGCGGUCUUUGACUGUCCGAGUUGUAAUCUAGAGAAGUGUUAUCCGCGCUGGACCGUGUACAAGUCUCCUGGAAUGGAGCGUCAUAGAGGGUGAGAAUCCCGUCUUUGACACGGACUGCCAGGGCUUUGUGAUAUGCUCUCAAAGAGUCGAGUUGUUUGGGAAUGCAGCUCAAAAUGGGUGGUAAAUUCCAUCUAAAGCUAAAUAUUGGCGAGAGACCGAUAGCGAACAAGUACCGUGAGGGAAAGAUGAAAAGAACUUUGGAAAGAGAGUUAAACAGUACGUGAAAUUGCUGAAAGGGAAACGCUUGAAGUCAGUCGCGUUGUCCGGGGAUCAACCUUGCUUUUGCUGGGCGUACUUCCCGGUUAAUGGGUCAGCAUCAAUUUUGAUCGUUGGAUAAAGGUUAGGGGAAAGUGGCAUCUUCGGAUGUGUUAUAGCCCUUGGUCGCAUACAACGGUUGGGAUUGAGGAACUCAGCACGCCGCAAGGCCGGGUAUUUAUACCACGUUCGUGCUUAGGAUGCUGGCAUAAUGGCUUUAAUCGACCCGUCUUGAAACACGGACCAAGGAGUCUAACAUGCCUGCGAGUGUUUGGGUGGAAAACCCGAGCGCGUAAUGAAAGUGAAAGUUGAGAUCCCUGUCGUGGGGAGCAUCGACGCCCGGACCAGACCUUUUGUGACGGAUCCGCGGUAGAGCAUGUAUGUUGGGACCCGAAAGAUGGUGAACUAUGCCUGAAUAGGGUGAAGCCAGAGGAAACUCUGGUGGAGGCUCGUAGCGAUUCUGACGUGCAAAUCGAUCGUCAAAUUUGGGUAUAGGGGCGAAAGACUAAUCGAACCAUCUAGUAGCUGG